ensembl:snoRNA
GCGAGUGCUCUGCCUCUGAGCCACAACCCCAGCCCCGAUUUUUCUGUUUUUCUUUUGAUUAGUACUAGGACGCAAAAGAAAACAAUCCCUGUGCUUUCUGCCUUUGUGGCAACCCAAACUGAAUUGGGGAAUAGAUCU